UCCAGAAUGAGGAAGAAUUUUCUUGCCUUACUUUUAACACUCGAGUGGAGACAAUGAUCAACAUCAGUUUGAAAAUUGUGGCCCUUUGAUGGAUUGUGUGUGCUGGAAACUUCAAUGCCAACUUCUUUAGCAAAUGGAGUGGUCCACCAACAUGUUUGUGAAAACAGCAUUAAAGGGUUUCCAGUGAGCCUCCAAAGAAGUGGUGGAGCAGGG
rnacentral:lncRNA from 1 species